UGACGGUACCUGACUAAGAAGCCCCGGCUAACUACGUGCCAGCAGCCGCGGUAAUACGUAUGGUGCAAGCGUUAUCCGGAUUUACUGGGUGUAAAGGGAGCGUAGACGGCAUGGCAAGCCAGAUGUGAAAUGCGGGGGCUCAACCCCUGAACUGCAUUUGGAACUGUCAAGCUAGAGUAUCGGAGAGGUAAGUGGAAUUCCUAGUGUAGCGGUGAAAUGCGUAGAUAUUAGGAGGAACACCAGUGGCGAAGGCGGCUUACUGGACGAUAACUGACGUUGAGGCUCGAAAGCGUGGGGAGCAAACAGGAUUAGAUACCCUG
rnacentral:rRNA from 1 species